ACUAUUAAUUUCCAAGGUGUAAGAUUUGUUCAUGAUAAAACACACUGGUUCUUCAUUCUUGCUCUCCAUUGGUCCUCCAUCUCAAUCCCAAAAUAAGAUGGUGUAGAGCAAGAUCGAUUCUGUCUCAGCCUGACUCAUAGGUCGAUCUCUGGAUUUCUCUUCAAAAUAGUCGGUUGUCGUCGUCUGUGGAUUUCUUUUCUGUAAUCGACUUCGUCUUUCUCCAUCUCUCUCACACUCUCCCCUGUACCAGAUUUUCAUCUGCAAUUUAUCAAAGGGAUUGAUUCAUAUACAUUGAUCGAUUCCUUUCAAAGGGAUUUAACGAUGCUACAACACAAGUAGAGGAGGUAUUGUUGCUUGGCUUGGUCAAAAGUAUUAUCUUCACUCUAAAGGCAAUAUAAGGACAUAUUGGUUGUGAAGCCACAUGUUUCUCUCAAUUGCUUGCAAAGUUAAGAGUUUAUGGUGAUGUUGUUAUUAGGGAGACGGUUGGAUGAUGACAAUCUUCAUCUUAUCAUCUUGGAUAUGAUGUUGCCGAAGGUCUCUUUUUUCUCUUACACUUGGACAGAUCAUUCUUGAUAUGUAUUCUAAUUUGUUUGGCCUUUAUUUUUGCUAUAUACAUAUAUAUGAAUAGGUAAGUGAGAAAGACAUUUGAAAAACUUUAACAUGUUUGAUGAUUACAACUGUUUUUUG